rnacentral:rRNA from 1 species
GAUGAACGCUGGCGGCGUGCCUAAUACAUGCAAGUCGAACGCACAGCGAAAGGUGCUUGCACCUUUCAAGUGAGUGGCGAACGGGUGAGUAACACGUGGACAACCUGCCUCAAGGCUGGGGAUAACAUUUGGAAACAGAUGCUAAUACCGAAUAAAACUUAGUGUCGCAUGACACAAAGUUAAAAGGCGCUUUGGCGUCACCUCGAGAUGGAUCCGCGGUGCAUUAGUUAGUUGGUGGGGUAAAGGCCUACCAAGACAAUGAUGCAUAGCCGAGUUGGGAGACUGAUCGGCCACAUUCGGACUGAGACACGGCCCAAACUCCUACGGGAGGCUGCAGUAGGGAAUCUUCCACAAUGGGCUAAAGCCUGAUGGAGCAACGCCGCGUGUGUGAUGAAGGCUUUCGGGUCGUAAAGCACUGUUGUAUGCGAAGAACAGCGAGAAUAGGGAAUGAUGUUAGUUUGACGGUACCAUACCAGACAGGGACGGCUAAAUACGUGCCAGCCGCCGCGGUAA